GUGCUCACUUCGGCAGGACGUGUACUAAUAUUGGGAUGAUGUAGAGAAGACCAGCGUGGCUCCUGCAAAAAGAUGACGCCCACAUUUAUUAAGCGUCCCAGGUUUUU